UACAGAGGUCUCAAGCGUUGUUCGGAUUCAUUGGGCGUAAAGGGCGCGUAGGCGGCUAUCCAAGUGGCGGGUGAAAUCCCUCGGCUUAACCGAGGAACUGCCUGCCCAGACUGGAUGGCCUCGAGACCGGGGAGAGGUGAGUGGAAUUCCCCAGUGUAGCGGUGAAAUGCGUAGAUAUUGGGAGGAACACCAGUGGCGAAGGCGGCUCACUGGACCGGUACUGACGCUGAGGCGCGAAAGCCAGGGGAGCAAACGGG
rnacentral:rRNA from 1 species